rnacentral:misc_RNA from 1 species
UAACUGCGUGCAGACGUGUGAACUGCAGGACACAUGAACACCGACGUUUCGAACGCAAAUGGCGGUCUAAGAUAAAUCUUAGACCACGUCUGGCUGAGGGUCGGAUUUGAAAUAAAACCAAAAGUUGCGAAGACUUGAGCUCGAUAAAAAUGUUCUUUUAAUGUGAGCUUGUCUUGUUGCUUCAUCGCUGGGUUAACCAAAGCCCGGUUAGAUUAUGCGGUAUCUGCAUUACUCUUGUGUGCUUUGCAUGUAGGAGAGCUGAUUUAAAAAUGUGAAUUAAAUGUUCUAAUCGGCAAAAAUAUGCGGUACUGAUUUAAGCAAGAGUUUUAUCGCAAAGCUCUUUCAUUCAAACAUACGACCUCAGAGUAGGCGAGAUUACCCGCUAAAUUUAA